rnacentral:rRNA from 1 species
CCUACGGGUGGCAGCAGUGAGGAAUAUUGGUCAAUGGACGCAAGUCUGAACCAGCCAUGCCGCGUGCAGGAAGACGGCUCUAUGAGUUGUAAACUGCUUUUGUACGAGGGUAAACUCAGAUACGCGUAUCUGUCUGAAAGUAUCGUACGAAUAAGGAUCGGCUAACUCCGUGCCAGCAGCCGCGGUAAUACGGAGGAUUCAAGCGUUAUCCGGAUUUAUUGGGUUUAAAGGGUGCGUAGGCGGUCGGAUAAGUUAGAGGUGAAAUCCCGAGGCUCAACUUCGGAAUUGCGUCUGAUACUGGUUGGCUAGAGAGUAGGUGCGGUAGGCGGAAUGUGUGGGGUAGCGGUGAAAUGCUUAGAGAUCAUACAGAACACCGAUUGCGAAGGCAGCAUACCA